AAAUAGUCUAAACAGUGAUUGGAUUUCCUGUGAUUUAAUAAACACUACAGGCAACAAAUUGAGACACACGAGUGUGUCAUCUCAAUAGGCAACACACACACACACACACACAAACACAAACACACACACCGAUGUUGAGAUUAGGGUUACUGGGGUUUAUCUUAAAAUUAGGGGUAUUAAGGUUGAUGUUAGCCUUGCUAAGAUUCAAUUUGGGUUACUAAUUAUAAAGGGAAACCUUUGAAAGUAUUUGAAAGUAAUACCAAAGUAUUUUUUCGCUAUAGAAACUGUAGCCAGUGUAAUGAGAUAUGAUGGGAUUUAUCUGUUCUAACUCUCUAAUCUUAUUAUAACCCAAGCUUCUGAAUUAUUGACUUGUUGAUGGAUGCAUUCAGAUAGAUUGUGCAUUACAGUAAUAUAAUCUAGGGAGUAUAAAUGCAUGAAUUCAUCUGAACUGGAUUUCAGUAGGAAUAAGCUAACAGUCAUUUAAUCUUUUAUUCUAUAUUUCUGAAUAUUAUUGUGCAAAGGCAGCAAAGAAUGCAGUGAGGGAACUAAAACAGACCCCUGUUCUCCUGCAUAUUUCAUUUGAUUCAGUUUAACACUCACAAUUUACAACUGACAAAUUCCCAAUGGUCCACAAAGUCAGAUCUAAACCAGGCAUGUGCGUCUGUGUAGGAUUAUUACAGUCUGAGGAGUAAAGAGCUGCAGUGAAGACGGAGAUAAAUCCACUGCCAGAAGACACGCACAGAAGUCAUUCAUUGUUCGUCGCUAUGGUUAAAGUCCACACUGAACAUUUUCCUACUCAUCAUUUAUCUCCAAGAACAAACACAGGUGGUCAGGCCUAGAUCUUUCUAGAAUAUAGAAAUGAAUGCAAGGUUUGAAUCUGGAUCGUAGACGGAGGAAGGCAUCAUGAUGGGGUUUCAUGAUAAGUGGCCUUGUACUGUAACUGCAGCUUUAAAUGCUCCGGCUGUGUGGUUUUGGUUUCAGGAUGAAUUACGGGUUAGAGUUAGCAUCACUGAUGUUUCACACACUUUCAUUAUAUAAACACACACACACACACACACACACACACACUGGCACUAACUCCAUCUGAAACCAAUACAGAAAAGUUGCUGCUGACUGAAACGUGUGAGAUGUCACAUGCGCGCACACACACAC
ensembl:lncRNA